UACGUAGGUGGCGAGCGUUUAUCCGGAAUGAUUGGGCGUAAAGGGUGCGUAGGCGGCCUGCUAAGUCUGGAGUGAAAGGUACCGGCUCAACCGGUACAGGCUCUGGAAACUGGCGGGCUAGAGAGCAGGAGAGGGCGGUGGAACUCCAUGUGUAGCGGUAAAAUGCGUAGAUAUAUGGAAGAACACCAGUGGCGAAGGCGGCCGCCUGGCCUGUUACUGACGCUGAGGC
rnacentral:rRNA from 1 species